rnacentral:rRNA from 1 species
GGCGGGGUGCUAUACAUGCAAGUCGAGCGGACAGAAGGGAGCUUGCUCCCGGAUGUUAGCGGCGGACGGGUGAGUAACACGUGGGUAACCUGCCUGUAAGACUGGGAUAACUCCGGGAAACCGGAGCUAAUACCGGAUAGUUCCUUGAACCGCAGGUUCAAGGAUGAAAGACGGUUUCGGCUGUCACUUACAGAUGGACCCGCGGCGCAUAGCUAGUUGGUGAGGUAACGGCUCACCAAGGCGACGAUGCGUAGCCGACCUGAGAGGGUGAUCGGCCACACUGGGACUGAGACACGGCCCAGACUCCUACGGGAGGCAGCAGUAGGGAAUCUUCCGCAAUGGACGAAAGUCUGACGGAGCAACGCCGCGUGAGUGAUGAAGGUUUUCGGAUCGUAAAGCUCUGUUGUUAGGGAAGAACAAGUGCAAGAGUAACUGCUUGCACCUUGACGGUACCUAACCAGAAAGCCACGGCUAACUACGUGCCAGCAGCCGCGGUAAUACGUAGGUGGCAAGCGUUGUCCGGAAUUAUUGGGCGUAAAGGGCUCGCAGGCGGUUUCUUAAGUCUGAUGUGAAAGCCCCCGGCUCAACCGGGGAGGGUCAUUGGAAACUGGGAAACUUGAGUGCAGAAGAGGAGAGUGGAAUUCCACGUGUAGCGGUGAAAUGCGUAGAGAUGUGGAGGAACACCAGUGGCGAAAGCGACUCUCUGGUCUGUAACUGACGCUGAGGAGCGAAAGCGUGGGGAGCGAACAGGAUUAGAUACCCUGGUAGUCCACGCCGUAAACGAUGAGUGCUAAGUGUUAGGGGUUUCCGCCCCUUAGUGCUGCAGCUAACGCAUUAAGCACUCCGCCUGGGGGAGUACGGUCGCAAGACUGAAACUCAAAGGAAUUGACGGGGGCCCGCACAAGCGGUGGAGCAUGUGGUUU